rnacentral:rRNA from 1 species
UGAAACGAUGUGGGUAAGGCAUAGACAGCUAGGAGGUUGGCUUAGAAGCAGCCACCCUUUAAAGAAAGCGUAAUAGCUCACUAGUCGAGUCGGCCUGCGCGGAAGAUGUAACGGGGCUAAAACUAUGUGCCGAAGCUGCGGAUUUGACAUUAGUCAAGUGGUAGGGGAGCGUUCUGUAAGCCGAUGAAGGUGUAUUGAGAAGUAUGCUGGAGGUAUCAGAAGUGCGAAUGCUGACGUGAGUAACGACAAAACGGGUGAAAAACCCGUUCGCCGAAAGACCAAGGGUUCCAGUCCAACGUUAAUCGGGGCUGGGUGAGUCGACCCCUAAGGCGAGGCCGAAAGGCGUAGUCGAUGGGAAAAUGGUUAAUAUUCCAUUACUUCUGUGUAAUGCGAUGAGAGGACGGAGAAGGCUAAAUCAGCCUGGCGUUGGUUGUCCAGGUGAAAGGAUGUAGGCAUGUAUCUUAGGCAAAUCCGGGGUACUCUAUGCUGAGAUCUGAUAGCAAGCUGUACUUGUACAGCGAAGUGGUUGAUGCCAUGCUUCCAGGAAAAGUCUCUAAGCUUCAGUUACACAGGAAUCGUACCCGAAACCGACACAGGUGGUCAGGUCGAGUAGACCAAGGCGCUUGAGAGAACUCUGCUGAAGGAACUAGGCAAAAUGGUACCGUAACUUCGGGAGAAGGUACGCUGUUGUUGGUGAUGGAACUCGCUUCCUGAGCUGACGACAGCCGCAGAAACCAGGCCGCUGCAACUGUUUAUUAAAAACAUAGCACUCUGCAAACACGAAAGUGGACGUAUAGGGUGUGAUGCCUGCCCGGUGCUGGAAGGUUAAUUGAUGGGGUUAGCGUAAGCGAAGCUCUUGAUCGAAGCCCCAGUAAACGGCGGCCGUAACUAUAACGGUCCUAAGGUAGCGAAAUUCCUUGUCGGGUAAGUUCCGACCUGCACGAAUGGCAUAAUGAUGGCGGCGCUGUCUCCAGCAGAGGCUCAGUGAAAUCGAAAUCGCUGUGAAGAUGCAGUGUACCCGCGGCUAGACGGAAAGACCCCGUGAACCUUUACUGCAGCUUGACACUGAACUUUGACCUUACUUGUGUAGGAUAGGUGGGAGGCUUUGAAGCUGGAACGCUAGUUCCAGUGGAGCCGUCCUUGAAAUACCACCCUGGUAAUGUUGAGGUUCUAACUCUGUCCCGUGAUCCGGGACGAGGACCGUGUCUGGUGGGUAGUUUGACUGGGGCGGUCUCCUCCUAAAGAGUAACGGAGGAGUACGAAGGUGCGCUCAGCGUGGUCGGAAAUCACGCGUAGAGUAUAAAGGCAAAAGCGCGCUUAACUGCGAGACCCACAAGUCGAGCAGGUACGAAAGUAGGUCUUAGUGAUCCGGUGGUUCUGUAUGGAAGGGCCAUCGCUCAACGGAUAAAAGGUACUCUGGGGAUAACAGGCUGAUACCGCCCAAGAGUUCAUAUCGACGGCGGUGUUUGGCACCUCGAUGUCGGCUCAUCUCAUCCUGGGGCUGAAGCAGGUCCCAAGGGUAUGGCUGUUCGCCAUUUAAAGAGGUACGCGAGCUGGGUUUAGAACGUCGUGAGACAGUUCGGUCCCUAUCUACCGUGGGCGCUGGAAAUUUGAGAGGAUCUGCUCUAGUACGAGAGGACCAGAGUGGACGAACCUCUGGUGUACCGGUUGUGACGCCAGUCGCAUCGCCGGGUAGCUAUGUUCGGAAGGGAUAACCGCUGAAAGCAUCUAAGCGGGAAGCCUACCUCAAGAUAAGAUUUCCCUAGGACUUUAUGUCCUCUAAAGAGCCGUUCGAGACUAGGACGUUGAUAGGUUGGAUGUGGAAGCAUAGUGAUAUGUGAAGCUGACCAAUACUAAUUGCUCGUGAGGCUUGACUA